GCUCAAGUUGCUGCAGAUAAAUCUGGGAAGUGAAGAAAUACUAGAAACUUCCUUAAGUAGUUUAAGUAAACUCCUUUACUGAGAAGGUCUUAGAAACCCUUCCCUUUGCUGCGCUCCGAAAAUCGCAACCUUGCUGGGCUUCUGGUUGCCGAUCUAGUUUUUGCCCUCCCGCUUCUUCAUUAGGUCCUUGAGAGAGCUGUGAAACACAGAUCUAUCCUGUUCAGUGCUGCGGGCCCGCGCUCUGGAAAGUUUCUGCAUUUCUUUGAGCGGCUGCUUUCCCCACCGAGUUUCCCGGGGCCCGGGCACCCGCAGCCCUCCUCUCUCUGCAGAACGUGAGGGGCGUGAGCAGUCGGGCGGUGGGCUCGUCUCUCCCCGGCUGCUGCCCAUGCAGCCAUCUCUCAUUCUCCUCUCCCUAGUGAGCCCUUCUGGAAGAAAUUGGGCCCUAAGUGUGGUCUCAGCUCUCUCAAGUGAUGGGGAGCCUUGGAGAUGGUUUGAGAACCAAGUUCUGCACGCUAGUAUCCAUUCUCCCAACUGAUAAUGACGCUUCAGUUGCCCGUAAGGAAGACCCUCCUUCCCCCAUUGGAUACAACCUUACUUCGACUGUUACUCAAGGUGUCCUACCCUCCUCUGGCCAGUGGCUCUUUUUGGAAAAUUCCCUACGAGAACCGAAAUUUAAACCCAUUUACUUUAUAAGAAGCAGCAGAAAGAUUAGCCCUGAGCUAACAUCUGCUGCCAAUCCUCCGCUUUUUUGCCACAGAAGACUGGCCCUGAGCUAACAUCCGUGCUCAUCUUCCUCUGUUCUAUAUGUGGGACGCCUGCCACAGCAUGGCUUGACAAGUGGUGUGUAGGUCCGCACCUGGGAUCCAAACCGAACUUACUUUUUUGAUGUGUGGAAGAACGUUUGUCAAUUCCCAAUGCUGUGAUUACUCGAAGAUGCCAACAAUGAUUCUGUGAUAAUAUAUGUCGCUCUUCCCAGUCUUCAUGCACCUGCAGGGCUGUCAACACUGGGAGGACUGGAAGAAAUUUGUAAAGAGUCUGGGAGUCUUCAGAGAGGAAAAGAGUGCAGACCUGGACUCCUCCUUUUCCAAUGUCUUUAUUAUUAGAAGGUUUUCUAUGCAUUGAGCCGGUUCUGAUUAAGAAAGGAUCUAAUAAGAAGGAACAUUGAAGACCUUAAGCUGUUAGCCCUGCUGUGGCCGGCAUUACCCGAUGGGACAGGCUAUCCGGUCAUGGGCACGACUGGAGGCAGAAGGCCCUCCUGACCCGGCCACUGUGCUCUGUAAACUAAAAAGCUGUUGGCGCGGAUGCCAUGUCUUACCUCUGAGGAGCAGGCUGCUUCUCUCUUGACGAAUCGCUGUGGCCACUAUUGGAAUCUGCAACAGCAAAGGCCAGCGCACACCAGGCGAAAAGGUCACCCUGGCCUGUGGGGGAUCCGUUUUCAUCAGUAAACGGUGCCAGGAGCAGAACACCAGCAGCCUUCAGCUUGUAUUCUCUCAGACUCUCUGGUUUUCUCCCUCUGAGGUGGAUCAAGAGGCCCCCAGAGUUUUUGAACAAUUUGAUAGACAAGAGAGACCUUGGACUCCCUGCUAGUCUGGCAAUUGAGAAGUGGUUUUAAUUUGGAAAAAAUAACAGGUGGGACCUCAUUUUUACCCAAAACUAUUGAAGUAGAUCCUACUAUUACCACAUGUACAUAUAUAUUUUACAAAUAUGUCAUCAUAACAUAUAUUGUUUAAUACUUGAUAAGUUCUGUAAAAGUUUCUUUUUUCUCUCUCCUAG
rnacentral:lncRNA from 1 species